AAUCCAUGAAUAGGACAUUUCCUAAGCAAGUCAUUGAACCUUUCCCAUGCUUCGUAUAAUGUUUCAUUCUCUAGUUUCCUAAAGGAUGUUAUGUCAUUUUUCAAUUU
rfam:Gossypium raimondii Chr08_contig_139, whole genome shotgun sequence.